CGAACGCUGGCGGCGUGCUUAACACAUGCAAGUCGAACGGAAAGGCCCUGCUUUUGUGGGGUGCUCGAGUGGCGAACGGGUGAGUAACACGUGAGUAACCUGCCCUUGACUUUGGGAUAACUUCAGGAAACUGGGGCUAAUACCGGAUAGGAGCUCCUGCUGCAUGGUGGGGGUUGGAAAGUUUCGGCGGUUGGGGAUGGACUCGCGGCUUAUCAGCUUGUUGGUGGGGUAGUGGCUUACCAAGGCUUUGACGGGUAGCCGGCCUGAGAGGGUGACCGGCCACAUUGGGACUGAGAUACGGCCCAGACUCCUACGGGAGGCAGCAGUGGGGAAUAUUGCACAAUGGGCGGAAGCCUGAUGCAGCAACGCCGCGUGCGGGAUGACGGCCUUCGGGUUGUAAACCGCUUUCGCCUGUGACGAAGCGUGAGUGACGGUAAUGGAUAAAGAAGCACCGGCUAACUACGUG
rnacentral:rRNA from 1 species